UUCUCUCUCAACGAUCUCUCAUCUCUCUCUAUCUAUCUCUCUCUCUCUCUCUCUGGUUCUCUCUAGAACCUUCUCCUCUCCCCUCCUCUCUGAUGACCUUAUCCACCUUCUCUGGCCAUCUCCUUGCCGAAAUCCAUAGUGUUUUCGCCACCUACCAGCCUUAUAGUUCCCUCCUGAAUGUUUGUCAUCAUUUUAAGGCCUUCAAGUGAACCAGUGGAGGUUUACUCGCCUCCCAUGGUUUCUCAUGCCAUUUUCUGACCAUACAUGGCCAUUCGAGUAAGAUCUAUUACUCUUCUGGCUAAAAUCCAUAAUUGUUUAAGGUUUUCUUGCCUUCUCUGGGUUAUUCAAAACCCUAACUCUAAAGGCUUUCCAAGUUUCAUUUAGAUAUUUGUAUAUUAUGAUCUUUU
rnacentral:lncRNA from 1 species